rnacentral:rRNA from 1 species
UACGUAGGGGGCAAGCGUUGUCCGGAAUCAUUGGGCGUAAAGCGCGUGUAGGCGGCCCGAUAAGUCCGCUGUGAAAGUCCAGGGCUCAACCCUGGAAUGCCGGUGGAUACUGUCGGGCUCGAGUCCGGAAGAGGCGAGUGGAAUUCCUGGUGUAGCGGUGAAAUGCGCAGAUAUCAGGAAGAACACCCGUGGCGAAGGCGGCUUUCUGGGACGGUACUGACGCUGAGACGCGAAAGCGUGGGGAGCGAACAGG